rnacentral:rRNA from 1 species
GUCGUACAAGGUUUCCGUAGGUGAACCUGCGGAAGGAUCAUUGUUG